UUUGGGCAGUGACACAUACCUGCUUCAUAACUUCGUCUUCAUCUUCUCAUAAUGUAUGAAUUCUAGUUCUAAUAAUGUGGCAUUUGUUUAUUAUACUUAUCACCAUUGGAUCGGUGUUUUCUUCUAACGAUAAAAUCAGGCAAGUAAACACUGGGGAUAAUGUACAACUCAAGUGCAUAUGGACCAACGUAACCGCAUCACAAGUGAUACUAAUUUCUUGGGAGAGAGGUGACUUAGUGUUAUUCAAAUGGACUUCGCAGGACAGUCAAAUAAAUACGACGGUGCACACAUUUGAAUUUAAUCAUGGGGUGGUCAGCAGUUUGAAAAGGAACAAUGUUUCACUUACUAACGAGGGGAUAUAUACUGUUAACAUGCAGUCUAGGAAACUCUUCCAUCGGUGCACCAUCAACCUGACAGUAAAUGUUCCGCCGGCCGGGUUGGUUUUUGUAGACGGAAAUGACAAUGUCACUCUACAUAAGCAAGAAACGCUUACGGUUGCAGAAGGGGAAAAUAGGACACUAGUCUGCAAAACUAAUGGAUCGGUGAAACCACCAGUGAAUUUGGAAUUUCAUGUUUCAGAAGAAAUAAUCAUAUAUGAUGAUUUACAAGAGAAUGAAAAUGUUCCCCAUGAUGGACGACUAACAGUGCCUACACGAACUAUCGUCUUCACACCAGUAUACAACGGUACUGAUGAGCUUGGGGUAGUGUGUAGGGUGGCGAACACAUCGUAUCGUAACAUAACAACAUCAGUCAUCAUA